rnacentral:rRNA from 1 species
GAGUUUGAUCAUGGCUCAGAACGAACGCUGGCGGCAGGCCUAAAACAUGCAAGUCGAGCGCUCAGCAAUGAGAGCGGCGGACGGGUGAGUAACACGUGGGAAUGUACCUUUCGGUACGGAACAACUCAGGGAAACUUGAGCUAAUACCGUAUGCGCCCUAACGGGGGAAAGAUUUAUCGCCGAAAGAUCAGCCCGCGUUGGAUUAGCUAGUUGGUGAGGUAACGGCUCACCAAGGCGACGAUCCAUAGCUGGUUUGAGAGAACGACCAGCCACACUGGGACUGAGACACGGCCCAGACUCCUACGGGAGGCAGCAGUUGGGAAUCUUGGACAAUGGGGGAAACCCUGAUCCAGCCAUGCCGCGUGAGUGAUGAAGGCCUUC